GCUAUAGAGACAUGACUAACAAAACUAAGUAAGUGACCCAGGCCAGAGCAAACUGUGGCCCCAAACCAUUGUCUGGCUUCUACCUGUGGGCUAUUGGUACUGAAGAGGGCUGUAGGGGA
rnacentral:snoRNA from 1 species